GCCAUAUCUCAGUGGUACAGCAUCUGCUUUGCAUGCAAAAGGUCCCUAGUUCAAUCCCCGGCAUUUGCA